AAGCAGGCAAUGAUAGUAUCAAGUGGAUUCUGUGCAGCAGGAUGGCUUUCGAUUUACUUUGCAGAGGUUUUGGUAUUCAUAGCUGAAAUCGCCACCAAGGAUUUAAGAUGAGCUUUGACAACCAUAAAUCAGCUUAUAAUUUGUACUGGAGUAUCUGUAUCAUUCAUCCUAGGCACAUUGCUGAUAUGGAGGGCUCUAGCAUUAGUAGGACUUGCUAACUGGUGGUACGGACCCCAUUGUGAAAUCGAGGAUUGCAAAAAAUUUGUAGGGUAAAAGGACGCAGAUGCUCAUCAACCCAUGGAGCAUAGGAUGUAAACAAUAGGACUUGUUUCCUUCUUUCAUUUUCUUUCUUUUUAGGAAGACACUUCGAAUUAUAUGUUUAUCAAUGUAUCUUUCAUUGUAUGCGAUACAUGAAAAGAUUGUAUUUCAUAAUUCAUUAUAUUUGAUUCAUAUAAUGUAUGAUAUGCUAUUUUAUAUUUUUAUAA